rnacentral:rRNA from 1 species
UACGGAGGGUGCAAGCGUUAUCCGGAUUCACUGGGUUUAAAGGGUGCGUAGGCGGGCAGGUAAGUCCGUGGUGAAAUCUCUGAGCUUAACUCAGAAACUGCCAUGGAUACUAUUUGUCUUGAAUAUUGUGGAGGUAAGCGGAAUAUGUCAUGUAGCGGUGAAAUGCUUAGAUAUGACAUAGAACACCAAUUGCGAAGGCAGCUGGCUACACAUAUAUUGACACUGAUGCACGAAAGCGUGGGGAUCAAACAGG